rnacentral:lncRNA from 1 species
UGGAAUGAAUGGCAGUAGAGGCAUAAUCCUGAUUUUACAAAUACAAAUACUGCAAUUGCAAUUAUGAAUUGCAAUAUUUUUAAGACUUGGGUGAAAACUUGGAAACUCAAGACUCACCCAGGGAAGAAAGACACCAAGAGAGAGCUGCUGGGCACUGGGACCAACCAGUCCCACUGCAUCUGCUGCCUGCAGCCCGUUAAAUUCCUGGUGAACAACAAGCGCCAGUGUCUGGAAUGCCAGCUGUGCGCCUGUAAGGCCUGAAGCUGCUACGACAAGAAGGAGCGCUGCUGGGUGUGCGACCCCUGCCGCAUGGAGAAUGUAACGCAUAUCUUACAUCUUGCCAAUGUACAAGUUCUACUCCUAAUUCCUACUUGAGGUAUGAAGGCAAGUAGAUAGUCCCUUUCAUCCACCUCUCUGAUAAAUCUUCCACACACUUUGCCAGAUGCAUUUCGCAAACUCCACAUAUCAUACUGUGUGUGAUCAUGAUCCAAGCACUGAAAAAUUUACUUUUACUCUGCACAAAGGCAGAUCCUUCAGAUUUAAACCUUGGUAGGCUACUGUACUUUACAGUGUUUAUCUACAGGUAACUGCUAAAAUAAAGGAAACACUAACAUAAAGUGUCUUAAUAGAGCAUUAGGCCACCAGAACAGCUUCAGUGAGCCUUGGCAUAGAUUCUACAAGUGUCUGGAACUCUAUUGGAGGGAUGCGACACCCUUCUUCCAUGAGAAAUUCCAUAAUUUGGUGUUUUGUUGAUGCUGGUGGAAAAUGCUCCAGAAUCUCCAAUAAGUGUUCAAUUGGGUUAAGAUCUGGUGACAGAGAGACAGAGAGACAGACAGACAGACACAAACUCAGCCUUUAAACCACCUAUGCUCUUCUGAUAUCCCUCUUUCAAAGUCACUGAGAUCUCUUCUAUCCAUGGUAGCCAAAAUAAUGGGCAACUGAGAAUUUUUAUACAUGACCCUAAGUACAAUGGGAUGUUAAUUGCUUAAUUAACUAAGAAACCACACCUGUGGUGAACAUCUGCUUUCAAUAUACUUUAUCUCUUAUUUACUCAAGUGUUUCCUUUAUUUUGGCAGUUAACUAUAUGUAUAGUAUCUAUUGAUGUGUCUAUUUGCAGUGUUGGGAGUAAUUACAUUUAACAAAAGUAAUGUGUUACUUUCCACACAAAGUAAUAUUGUAAAGUAACGCGUUAUAUUACUUUUUUUUUUAAAUGAAAUAAAAAAAUCUCACCCGUUUGUUUGACUGUCAGAGGGAACACGC